rnacentral:lncRNA from 1 species
CAAAACCCUAGUCUUGUGGUAUCAUUUCAUGGUCUUGUUCAUGUACAUUAUUUCAAGUUAUUUUUCUUUGCAAAAGUCAAACAUUCAAGCCAAUUGUGAAACCAAUUUCAACCAUUUGUUAAUCCAUUUCAAUUUAUUUCAUGUCAUUGUUUAAACCAGUACAUAUGAGUCCAUACAAAAAAAUAUACAAAAUUUGGCAUUUUUGACCAACUGUUGACUUUGGUCAACAGUUGACUUUUUGGUCAACUUUGACCAAAGUCAACCCAAA